ACCUCAGGUGAUUUACCCAUCUUGGCCUCUCAAAGUGCUGGGAUUACAAGAAUGAGCCACCGUGCUCGGCCCAUGAUUGUUAUUUUCUAUGAAAGAACCAGGAAUAACAAGAUUCUUCUUAGAUUUCCACAUAUUUGAUGCUUAAAACAACUUCCAUGAGUGUGCCAGCGCCAGGGGUUCCAGCUGCGCGUCCCAGGCUCUCCAGGGCGCGGCGGGCCGGUAGGGCCGUGCCUGGGCGGAGAUGCGGGGAGACCGCCCGUGGCUGGGCCGGGUAGUGCGAUUGCGGCGUGGGACUACCAGACAACAUGUUCUUGGCGGUCGGGAGCCUCCUGCGCUUCGGCCGCCGGGUAACCAUCUGCUGCGCCCCCGGAGCGCCUGUCGAGGCCACGCAGCUACCUGCACUGGCUCUUCCGCCCAGGGGUCUCCCCUGGUACUCCAGCGGCGCAGCCCCCAGCAAUUCUGCGCCCAAAGGUCGCGGGGAGGCUCACGGACUCCCUGCGCAGCACAGGCCUUCGCAGUUCGGCAAGAAAAUCCUGGUGUGGACCGGGCGAUUCAAAUCGGUGGAGGAGAUCCCGCCUCGGGUCCCGCCAGACAUGAUAGACACUUCAAGAAACAAAGCUCGAGUGAAAGUUUGUUACCUAAUGAUUGGACUCAAUUAUCGCCUGCUUUGCUGUAAUAGCAUCAGUCAAAAAGGCUGUAGAACGACAUGAAUCCUUAGCAAGUUUGAACUUGUCGAAGAAGGCUAAGUUGCGUGAAGAAGCUGCAUUGGCUGCACAGGCUAAAGCAAAAUGAUAUUCUAAUCGACACAGCAUUCACCUGAAUACCAUCCCCGUCAUCAGCAACAGUAGAAGAUGAGAAAAAUAGGAUAUUUACCAAAAUACCUGCCGUGGUUUUAUUUUGCUAACAAGAAAUGCAACGUCUAUUUUAUUUUUACUUUUUAGUAAACUUUUACUAAAGUAUACCAAACAUUCAAAAAGUAGGAAAAGGUGUAUACAGCCUGAUAGAUAUUUAUGUUGUAAACAUCUGUGUAACCACUGGCAAAUGAAGAUGCAGAAUAACGGCAACACCUCAGAGCCUCAAUCCUGCCCUUUCUCAGCCAUUACCUCCCAAACAUAACAAUUUUUCUGAGUUUCAUCAUCUUAGAUUCGUUUUGCCUGUUUUUGAACUUUACAUAAACAGAUUUAUACA